AAAAGUUAUUACCGUUGAUAAUCGUGCCCAUGAUAGAACUCUCUUCCCUACAAGCUUAACUGAAAGCAUAGAACAAUAUAACGAAACCUAACGGUCAUCGAACCCGCACAGCUAAUCUCUGCUAGCAAUGACAGUGCUGAACAGUGGAAAUAUAACUGCUGAAGGACAGUGGCGAGGACAAAAAGGAGGACUGUCUAGAAGAACUGCAUUGAUAAAGUCAGCCUUCUACAUUGAAGCAGGAAGCAGUUCAACAUCAGAUGACAAAGCCCCUAGACAAGUGCGAUGGAAUAAAUGUGAUGUAAAACAGAUCAUGACAAGUGAAGACGACAAGCAAGAUCCAUUUUCUUAUGGACCCUCAUUGGGUCAACCUGUCUCUUUUUGGACAAGCUUGCAAACAGUGACUUAAACGCUAUCUAGCUUAUUCUUUUAGCCUAAUCUGUACCGUGACCUCAAGAUUCAAUUUAUGGAAGAUCUCAAGCAUUUGGGAUCACAAGUUUUCUGUAAUGACCUGGAUUUUUACUUUGACUGUACCUCCAACUAGAAACUUUAAAAAUACUUUUAAUUGAAUAGUACUACUAACAAUACCAUGUUUUUAGGCAGUCAGGUCUUAUAGCUGUGACUGAAAACAUGAAAUACCUACCAAUUUUUUCAUUUUACUAUGGGUAAUGUACUUGAAGAUGUGAUGCUAGGCGUUAAGAUCACAAGCAUUUGCCUUUUUGUCAGGUAGAAUUGUUUAUAACAAAAAAACUGUUCAUGUUUGCUUUCUUAUGUGUACCAGAGUCAGGUUAAGGCUUGUGUAAACAAAAAAAAACAAAACAGAAAAGGACCAAAGAUUGAAUCCUGCAGUUGAUGACUUCUGUCAUGUUUUACUUUGAAGAGGUAUUUUUUCUCGAGUAAUUCAACCUGUUUAGUUGUAUUAAAGUAUGAUUCAUUAUCAGCUUA